UUAAUAAGGUAUCAUAAAAAACUCAAAAACUGGCAGACUAUCAGCCGACAGCGCAAUGCUCUGAUGACUGUGGUAGGUUUACAAAAACUUAUUAUUCUCCGUACCACGCUUGGAUUCCAUUCCGAAAUGGUAUCAGUGAUCAAAGAUCGAAGUCGUAACUGACUCCAGUCAACCUCAGGAUCAUCCGGAAGUGCACUGCAAUUAAGCUGUUUUUAUAGUGUCAUCUCAUCAGAAACGGUUUUCCCCUAGAGUAGUGUUUUCCUCCAAAUAUUUACUUCUGAUUGUUAUUAAAUAUUACUCAAAGUUAAAUCUUCGUACUCUCGCAAUAAAGCCCCUCGGUUUCUAAUUUAGGAGGGACUCGACUAGUACGUCUUAUUGUUAACAGCUUACGGAUCGUCAAUGCACUUUAUAUUGUCUCGAUGCACACCCAGAAUUUCACAAGCUUCCACGAGCUCUCGCUUUCGUAUGUCCCCCAUGCCGUAAUGAUUUCCUAAACCAUCCAGAAAAGCACAAAGAAAGUCUUAGAACAUGUAAGAAUGACGAUGCAAGAACACGGAUCAUUCUCGCAAAUUAAUUGGAUACCGUAUGCUAGGAACGAAUUAUGGACCGUACAGAAGUCUCUAACAGCUUACCUAUGGAACAGCAUAAAACAAAGACAUCUUCCAAACACCAUUUCCGUACGGCUGUUACGAUUAACGGCCCGAAAAACAUGCACUCGUCAUCUGGGUGUGCUAUCACCACCAACAAUCGUUCGCUUUGUUUUAGCUUCCGUUUCCUCUCUGGAAUCUGAGUUUGCCAGCUUAUGCAUUUAUAAAUAACCAGCAUUCCAACGAACAUUGAUAUCAACAGGUAAAAGGCCAUUGUAGU